UUUGACUGGGGCGGUCUCCUCCUAAAGAGUAACGGAGGAGCACGAAGGUUGGCUAAUCCUGGUCGGACAUCAGGAGGUUAGUGCAAUGGCAUAAGCCAGCUUGACUGCGAGCGUGACGGCGCGAGCAGGUGCGAAAGCAGGUCAUAGUGAUCCGGUGGUUCUGAAUGGAAGGGCCAUCGCUCAACGGAUAAAAGGUACUCCGGGGAUAACAGGCUGAUACCGCCCAAGAGUUCAUAUCGACGGCGGUGUUUGGCACCUCGAUGUCGGCUCAUCACAUCCUGGGGCUGAAGUAGGUCCCAAGGGUAUGGCUGUUCGCCAUUUAAAGUGGUACGCGAGCUGGGUUUAGAACGUCGUGAGACAGUUCGGUCCCUAUCUGCCGUGGGCGCUGGAGAACUGAGGGGGGCUGCUCCUAGUACGAGAGGACCGGAGUGGACGCAUCACUGGUGUUCGGGUUGUCAUGCCAAUGGCACUGCCCGGUAGCUAAAUGCGGAAGAGAUAAGUGCUGAAAGCAUCUAAGCACGAAACUUGCCCCGAGAUGAGUUCUCCCUGAGACUUAGAGUCUCCUGAAGGAACGUUGAAGACGACGACGUUGAUAGGCCGGGUGUGUAAGCGCAGCGAUGCGUUGAGCUAACCGGUACUAAUGAACCGUGAGGCUUAA
rnacentral:rRNA from 1 species